GGUUCGUCACGUCGGAUGUGAAAAUCUGGGGCUUAACCCCAGACCUGCAUUCGAUACGGGCGAGCUUGAGUAUGGUAGGGGAGUCUGGAAUUCCUGGUGUAGCGGUGGAAUGCGCAGAUAUCAGGAGGAACACCAAUGGCGAAGGCAGGACUCUGGGCCAUUACUGACACUGAGGAGCGAAAGCGUGGGGAGCGAACAGGAUUAGAUACCCUGGUAGUCCACGCCGUAAAACGGUGGGCACUAGUUGUGGGGACCUUCCACGGUCUCUGCGACGCAGCUAACGCAUUAAGUACCCCGCCUGGGGAGUACGAUCGCAAGAUUAAAACUCAAAGGAAUUGACGGGGCCCCGCACAAGCAGCGGAGCAUGCGGCUUAAUUCGACGCAACGCGAAGAACCUUACCAAGGCUUGACAUAUACAGGAAUAUGGCAGAGAUGUCAUAGCCGCAAGGUCUGUAUACAGGUGGUGCAUGGUUGUCGUCAGCUCGUGUCGUGAGAUGUUGGGUUAAGUCCCGCAACGAGCGCAACCCCCGUUCUGUGUUGCCAGCAUUAAGUUGGGGACUCACAGGAGACUGCCGGGGUUAACUCGGAGGAAGGUGGGGAUGACGUCAAAUCAUCAUGCCCCUUAUGUCUUGGGCUGCACGCAUGCUACAAUGGCUGGUACAAACGGCUGCGAUACCGCAAGGUGGAGCGAAUCCGAUAAAGCCAGUCUCAGUUCGGAUUGGGGUCUGCAACUCGACCCCAUGAAGUCGGAGUUGCUAGUAAUCGUAGAUCAGCAACGCUACGGUGAAUACGUUCCCGGGGCUUGUACACACCGCCCGUCACGUCACGAAAGUCGGUAACACCCGAAGUCAGUGGCCCAACCGCAAGGAGGGAGCUGCCGAAGGUGGGAUCGGUGAUUGGGACGAAGUCGUAAC
rnacentral:rRNA from 1 species